UCACCUUUGUAGUGUUGCCUCUGCCACUCCCUUUAACUUUGAUAAACUAUGAGAAAAAAGUAUGAGUACAAGAGAAGCGCAGUAGAAUGGAUGAUAUCAGACAAGUGGAUGAAUGUAUUUUUACAGAGAAUCUUGAUUACUUUGUGGUGUUUGGUUUCUUUACUUGACUAAGAGGCACAAAAGUUAUUGGAGUCUAAAGAUGGAAGAUUGUAUUAGGCUUUAUACCUUUGUGAAAUCAAGUUGCAUUUUCAUUUUCAGAAUUGCAAUGUUGCUUUGCUACUUUCUUCACAUGAAAAAGAUCAAGGUGCAUAUUCUUUUGCCUUGUUUGGACAAUGUAUAUAUGUUUUGUCAAUUUCUAUGUACAAAAUGCGCGUUUGGCAUCUGGAAAUUUGAUAGGUUCAUUAUCCAUGGUCGGUGUCCACUCCACUAUUGACAUGGAAAGGAAACUAACAAUAGAUGUUUUGAUGGAAAUGUGAGAGCUCCAAACAUGGUUGGGAAGAACUUCACUACUGAAAUCUUUCUUUUUUCAGGCAGCUUUCGUUUUCAGUAGUGACACCGGUACAUGGAGUACAUGGCUAAGGGUAAAAUUCAUUUCGUUGCUUCUGCUAACUUUUGAGAGAGAUGAUUGUACAUGGUAUCAGAGUAGGGACAGAUCUACAAUGAUCUCUGUGAUAUGAAUUUAGUGGUUGUAAUAUGUUUAAGGCGAUGGAAUUAAUGCUAAUCCAGUUGUCUUGAGUUCAGAUUCCCUGAUAUCAGUAUACUUUCACUAAUAGUGUGAGAACUCAUGCCUAGUGUGUUAAGGCACUGGAUAAUCCCUGGGGUCGUAUCACACUCUACGUUAAAGACUUCAAACCUAAGUUCAUUUAGUUUA